UGCUCAGAAAUGUUCACAUUUGUGGUGUCUGAAAGUCAUUCUUUGGCUGAUGUGACUGUGAUAAUGAUUAUCAUUAACAUAAAAUCUGUUUUCUUUUCCUCUUUAAAUUUUCGACAGGCCCAGAUCGGUGUACCGACCUCUGAACCCUCUGGCUCCGAGCAGAGGAGACGACGACGGAGAAGGUUUCUACAAGUGGCUGGAAGGUGAGUGUUCCCUCCUGUUCCCU